rnacentral:ncRNA from 12 species
AGGGCACCACCAGGCGUAAAACCAAGCCGUUUGGCUCUGCGCCAGUCGGGUGUGAGGAGGGCCUCAAACAAGCUCCUCACACGAGAAACCCGGCUAGUCCUGGUGCGGCUUGCAUCGCGCCGCCGCACCUGGGCAACAUCAUCGAAUUGCUGGAAACCCCUAAAGCUCUUGGUACCAACCUGCAUGGGAAAUCGUGCGGGGGCCCACUCCGGGGAGGUUAUAAUCCAAGAGAUGCAACAAUGGGCAAUCAGCAGCGAAGACCCUGUCGGUUGGGACUUGCGUCCCGGCCCAUGGGUAACGUUCAGAGACUAAGUGGUGAUGGGCCCCGAUGCCACCCGGCCUCGGGGCUUAAGAUAUAGUCCGGCCCCGGCGAAAGCCGAUGUCGAGAUGAGGGGGUGCGACCCCAGAGCUCGGCAGUAGGGAUCAGAGUUCCUGCUCUAAUGUGGGCACGUGCGGCUUAA